GGGCGGUUAGCUCAGUUGGUUAGAGCACCUGUCUUACAAACAGGGGGUCGGAGGUUCGAGUCCUCCACCGCCCACCA
rnacentral:tRNA from 2 species